ensembl:lncRNA CASC19 cancer susceptibility 19
AGAAACACUAUCACCUACGCAUACCUCUGCUUCUUUUCAUUAACCUGCUAUCCUCUUUACAAAUGGGAUUCUUCACCCACUCCCUUCUUCUAGAUUAGCAAUGCCCUGUUAAGUAAACGAACACGAAAUUCAAAGGGAAACAGGAGCAAUCAUCAUUACCAGCUGCCGUGUUAAGCAUUGCGAAAACGCUCACGAUUCACAGAAAAAUCCAUGCUGUUCUUUGAAGGCAUUCAAGCCUUAAUAGCUAGCUGGAUGAAUGUUUAACUUCUAGGCCAGGCACUACUCUGUCCCAACAAUAAGCCCUGUACAUUGGGAAAGGUGCCGAGACAUGAACUUUGGUCUUCUCUGCAAUCCAUCUGGAGCAUUCACUGACAACAUCGACUUUGAAGUUGCACUGACCUGGCCAGCCCUGCCACUUACCAGGUUGGAUUGCAAACUCCUAGAGAAGGGCUCAACAGUGAGUGCUGAGGCUGCACAGAGGAGGAAGGCAGCACAAUGAUGGAAGGCUUCCUAAAGAGGCAUGCUUCUGAUGUGAGUUCAGGAGAAGACACUGGCAAGGACAGCAAAGAACAGGAGAACACUCUAGCUUCCCUGAUAGCAUUCAAGGUGCUGUCCAAACUGACUGUGAUGGCACCCUCCAGACAGACAGCGAUGCCACAUGUUCAAGAUGGCAGAAUCACUAUCAGCUUCAAUUCCUGAAUGACUGCAGAGCAAAAUUUCUUACCUGCAACAUACACUCUAUUUUCAGCCUCCCUGGACUGUUACAUAAUGAUACAUAAAAAUAUUUCUUGUGUUGAGGCAUCCCAAAUUUGAUUUAUUUGUCAUCACAGUCUAUCCUAUGAAUAUAUUUCUGAUCCAAAUAA